GACGAACCGUGCAAACGUUAUUCGGAAUCACUGGGCUUAAAGGGCGCGUAGGCGGGUCAGAUAGUCUGCGGUGAAAUCCUCCAGCUUAACUGGAGAACUGCCGUGGAUACUGCUGACCUCGAGGAGGGUAGGGGCAUCUGGAAACAGCCGGUGGAGCGGUGAAAUGGCGUUGAUAGUCGGCUGGAAACUCCGGUGGCGAAGGCGAGAUGCUGGACC
rnacentral:rRNA from 1 species